CCUACGGGGGGCUGCAGUAAGGAAUAUUGGUCAAUGGACGAAAGUCUGAACCAGCCAUCCCGCGUGCAGGAUGAAAGCCCUAUGGGUUGUAAACUGCUUUUAGCAGAGAAGAAAAGCUUUCAUUAAUGAGAGUCUGACGGUAUCUGCAGAAUAAGCACCGGCUAACUCCGUGCCAGCAGCCGCGGUAAUACGGAGGGUGCGAGCGUUAUCGGGAAAAACUGGGCGUAAAGGGUGUAUAAAGGCAGUAGUGAAAUCUUGUCGCUUAACGAUAAAAUUGUCAAUGAUACUGUUACUCUUGAAUUGGGUUGAGGUUAGCGGAAUGUGACAUGUAGCGGUGAAAUGCAUAGAUAUGUCAUGGAACACCAAUUGCGAAGGCAGCUAACUGGGCCUUGAUUGACGCUGAGGCACGAAAGCGUGGGUAGCGAACAGGAUUAGAUACCCUUGUAGUC
rnacentral:rRNA from 1 species